UGCAUCAACCAGCAGCAGCAGCAGCAGCAGCAUGUCAGUAGUAGCAGGAGUAGUGAAUGGUCACUCGUAUGUGGUGACUACUUGUACUAUCAGGCCGCCCUUGUAGUGUGCUGGACUAUUGGUCAACAAGGAGCCCUGAAAGUUACGUGGUACAACUAUUUCGGCGAUAGUAAUGGCUGUUAAGAACGUGGCGAGGCGAAGGUUUACCCCGGCGGCCAUCUUUGUUUUGGGAAUGGUCUUGUUCUAUUGGAUGAGCAGAACUUUGAGAUUUGCAUCAACCAUCACCAGCAGCAGUAGCAGCAGCAGCAUGGCAGUAGUAGCAGGAGUAGUGAAUGGUCACACGUAUGUGGUGACUACUUGGACUAUCAGGCCGCCCUUGUAGUGUGCUGGACUAUUGGUCAACAAUGAGCCGAGAAAGUUACUUAGUACAACAAUUUCGGCGAUAGUAGUGGCUGAGUUGCCGAUCCAAAGGCCUGGUUUAAGAGUGAUCCCGAGCUAUCUGUACCAUCAAGAUCAAGAUCGAGCGUCCAUAUCAGAUGGCGAGUCUGCUUACAAAAUUGCAUCGGAGAGACUGAUAGAGGCAGCCACAAUUAUCCAUCAUCAUCGGCGACACCAUGGCUCUUGAGAAGACAGACAGACCUCGAUGACAGCGUGGUGAGCGAGGAGGGGGGAGUCAACCAGCAGAGUAGGGGAGCAUGACCCCUACUUUGAACCUGUGGUGACCUUGCUGGAGGUCUUCGUGGUUAGUGAUGAUGACCAGGAGGAGGAAAUGAUAACACUGAGUUUCGAGGUCAGGUCAGGCAGUACAAGCUGUUUCAUUAUCACACUUCUGAGUCGCCCCCACAGUGGAAGGAACGGGACAUGGAGGCCAUUAAGAUUCUGAGGAACAAGCAGAAGAAGGCUGUGGAGUUUGUUCAGCGGCAGAAUUAAUGCCAGUGGGCUGAGUUCAGAUCCUCCAAGACACACACACACACACACACA